UAGUGGCGGACGGGUGAGUAACGCGUGGGAAUCUGCCCUCAGGAGGGGGAUAACGGUUGGAAACGACCGCUAAUACCUCAUAUGCCGAGAGGUGAAACGAAAUUCGCCUGAGGAUGAGCCCGCGUCUGAUUAGCUAGUUGGUGGGGUAAGGGCCUACCAAGGCAUCGAUCAGUAGCUGGUCUGAGAGGAUGAUCAGCCACACUGGGACUGAGACACGGCCCAGACUCCUACGGGAGGCAGCAGUGGGGAAUUUUCCGCAAUGGGCGCAAGCCUGACGGAGCAACGCCGCGUGAGGGAUGAAGGCCUCUGGGCUGUAAACCUCUUUUCUCAAGGAAGAAGAACUGACGGUACUUGGGGAAUAAGCCACGGCUAA
rnacentral:rRNA from 1 species